rnacentral:rRNA from 1 species
GAGCGGAAAGGCCACUUCGGUGGUACUCGAGCGGCGAACGGGUGAGUAACACGUGAGUAAUCUGCCCCUGGCUUUGGGAUAGCCACCGGAAACGGUGAUUAAUACCGGAUAUGACCAUUCUUCGCAUGAGGUGUGGUGGAAAGUUUUUCGGCCAGGGAUGUGCUCGCGGCCUAUCAGCUUGAUGGUGAGGUAAUGGCUCACCAUGGCUUCGACGGGUAGCCGGCCUGAGAGGGUGACCGGUCACACUGGGACUGAGACACGGCCCAGACUCCUACGGGAGGCAGCAGUGGGGAAUAUUGGACAAUGGGCGGAAGCCUGAUCCAGCAACGCCGCGUGAGGGAUGACGGCCUUCGGGUUGUAAACCUCUUUCGGUGGGGACGAAGCGCAAGUGACGGUACCCACUAAAGAAGCACCGGCCAACUACGUGCCAGCAGCCGCGGUAAUACGUAGGGUGCGAGCGUUGUCCGGAAUUAUUGGGCGUAAAGGGCUCGUAGGCGGUUUGUCGCGUCGGGAGUGAAAACGCCGUGCUUAACACGGCGCUUGCUUUCGAUACGGGCAGACUAGAGGUAUUCAGGGGAGAACGGAAUUCCUGGUGUAGCGGUGAAAUGCGCAGAUAUCAGGAGGAACACCGGUGGCGAAGGCGGUUCUCUGGGAAUGACCUGACGCUGAGGAGCGAAAGUGUGGGGAGCGAACAGGAUUAGAUACCCUGGUAGUCCACACCGUAAACGUUGGGCGCUAGGUGUGGGGUCCAUUCCACGGAUUCCGUGCCGCAGCUAACGCAUUAAGCGCCCCGCCUGGGGAGUACGGCCGCAAGGCUAAAACUCAAAGGA